GACGAACGCUGGCGGCGUGCUUAACACAUGCAAGUCGAACGGAAAGGCCCCCUUGUGGGGUACUCGAGUGGCGAACGGGUGAGUAACACGUGAGUAACCUACCCUUGACUUUGGGAUAACUUCAGGAAACUGGGGCUAAUACCGGAUAGGAGCUCCUGCUGCAUGGUGGGGGUUGGAAAGUUUCGGCGGUUGGGGAUGGACUCGCGGCUUAUAAGCUUGUUGGUGGGGUAGUGGCUCACCAAGGCUUUGACGGGUAGCCGGCCUGAGAGGGUGACCGGCCACAUUGGGACUGAGAUACGGCCCAGACUCCUACGGGAGGCAGCAGUGGGGAAUAUUGCACAAUGGGCGGAAGCCUGAUGCAGCAACGCCGCGUGCGGGAUGACGGCCUUCGGGUUGUAAACCGCUUUCGCCUGUGACGAAGCGUGAGUGACGGUAAUGGGUAAAGAAGCACCGGCUAACUACGUG
rnacentral:rRNA from 1 species